UAGCUCAGUUUGUAGAGCAUGGUGUUUGCAACGCCAGGGUUGUGGGUUCGAUUCCCAC
rfam:Salmo salar isolate Sally breed double haploid chromosome ssa19, whole genome shotgun sequence.